GGUAGCGGCUGAGAGGGCGACCGGCCACACUGGGACUGAGACACGGCCCAGACUCCUACGGGAGGCAGCAGUGGGGAAUAUUGCACAAUGGGCGAAGCCUGAUGCAGCGACGCCGCGUGAGGGAUGACGGCCUUCGGGUUGUAACCUCUUUCAGCAGGGAAGAAGCGAAAGUGACGGUACCUGCAGAAGAAGCGCCGGCUAACUACGUGCCAGCAGCCGCGGUAAUACGUAGGGCGCAAGCGUUGUCCGGAUUAUUGGGCGUAAAGAGCUCGUAGGCGGCUUGUCACGUCGGAUGUGAAAGCCCGGGGCUUAACCCCGGGUCUGCAUUCGAUACGGGCUAGCUAGAGUGUGGUAGGGGAGAUCGGAUUCCUGGUGUAGCGGUGAAUGCGCAGAUAUCAGGAGGACACCGGUGGCGAAGGCGGAUCUCUGGGCCAUUACUGACGCUGAGGAGCGAAAGCGUGGGGAGCGACAGGAUAGAUACCUGGUAGUCCACGCCGUAAACGUGGGAACUAGGUGUUGGCGACAUUCCACGUCGUCGGUGCCGCAGCUAACGCAUAAGUCCCGCCUGGGGAGUACGGCCGCAAGCUAAACUCAAAGGAUUGACGGGGCCCGCACAGCAGCGGAGCAUGUGCUUAUUCGACGCACGCGAGAACCUACCAGGCUGACAUAUACGGAAGCAUCAGAGAUGUGCCCCCUUGUGG
rnacentral:rRNA from 1 species